rnacentral:rRNA from 1 species
CCUACGGGAGGCAGCAGUGGGGAAUAUUGGACAAUGGGCGAAAGCCUGAUCCAGCAAUGCCGCGUGAGUGAUGAAGGCCUUAGGGUCGUAAAGCUCUUUUACCAGGGAUGAUAAUGACAGUACCUGGAGAAUAAGCUCCGGCUAACUCCGUGCCAGCAGCCGCGGUAAUACGGAGGGAGCUAGCGUUGUUCGGAAUUACUGGGCGUAAAGCGUGCGUAGGCGGUUAUUCAAGUCAGAGGUGAAAGCCCGGGGCUCAACCCCGGAACGGCCUUUGAAACUAGAUAACUAGAAUCUUGGAGAGGUCAGUGGAAUUCCGAGUGUAGAGGUGAAAUUCGUAGAUAUUCGGAAGAACACCAGUGGCGAAGGCGACUGACUGGACAAGUAUUGACGCUGAGGUACGAAAGCGUGGGGAGCAAACAGGAUUAGAUACCCUGGUAGUCCACGCCGUAAACGAUGAUAACUAGCUGUCCGGACACUUGGUGUUUGGGUGGCGCAGCUAACGCAUUAAGUUAUCCGCCUGGGGAGUACGGUCGCAAGNUUAAAACUCAAAGGAAUUGACGG